rnacentral:piRNA from 1 species
AUCCUAAGGACUAGCAUUGGCAGCUGACC